GGGUUGUGAGGUUAAGCGACUAAGCGUACACGGUGGAUGCCCGGCAGUCAGAGGCGAUGAAGGACGUGCUAAUCUGCGAUAAGCGUCGGUAAGGUGAUAUGAACCGUUAUAACCGGCGAUUUCCGAAUGGGGAAACCCAGUGUGAUUCGUCACACUAUCAUUAACUGAAUCCAUAGGUUAAUGAGGCGAACCGGGGGAACUGAAACAUCUAAGUACCCCGAGGAAAAGAAAUCAACCGAGAUUCCCCCAGUAGCGGCGAGCGAACGGGGAGCAGCCCAGAGCCUGAAUCAGUGUGUGUGUUAGUGGAAGCGUCUGGAAAGGCGCGCGAUACAGGGUGACAGCCCCGUACACAAAAAUGCACAUACUGUGAGCUCGAUGAGUAGGGCGGGACACGUGGUAUCCUGUCUGAAUAUGGGGGACCAUCCUCCAAGGCUAAAUACUCCUGACUGACCGAUAGUGAACCAGUACCGUGAGGGAAAGGCGAAAAGAACCCCGGCGAGGGGAGUGAAAAAGAACCUGAAACCGUGUACGUACAAGCAGUGGGAGCCUCUUUAUGGGGUGACUGCGUACCUUUGUAUAAUGGGUCAGCGACUUAUAUUCUGUAGCAAGGUUAACCGAAUAGGGGAGCCGAAGGGAAACCGAGUCUUAACUGGGCGUUAAGUUGCAGGGUAUAGACCCGAAACCCGGUGAUCUAGCCAUGGGCAGGUUGAAGGUUGGGUAACACUAACUGGAGGACCGAACCGACUAAUGUUGAAAAAUUAGCGGAUGACUUGUGGCUGGGGGUGAAAGGCCAAUCAAACCGGGAGAUAGCUGGUUCUCCCCGAAAGCUAUUUAGGUAGCGCCUCGUGAAUUCAUCUCCGGGGUAGAGCACUGUUUCGGCAAGGGGUCAUCCCGACUUACCAACCCGAUGCAAACUGCGAAUACCGGAGAAUGUUAUCACGGGAGACACACGGCGGGUGCUAACGUCCGUCGUGAAGAGGGAAACAACCCAGACCGCCAGCUAAGGUCCCAAAGUCAUGGUUAAGUGGGAAACGAUGUGGGAAGGCCCAGACAGCCAGGAUGUUGGCUUAGAAGCAGCCAUCAUUUAAAGAAAGCGUAAUAGCUCACUGGUCGAGUCGGCCUGCGCGGAAGAUGUAACGGGGCUAAACCAUGCACCGAAGCUGCGGCAGCGACGCUUAUGCGUUGUUGGGUAGGGGAGCGUUCUGUAAGCCUGCGAAGGUGUGCUGUGAGGCAUGCUGGAGGUAUCAGAAGUGCGAAUGCUGACAUAAGUAACGAUAAAGCGGGUGAAAAGCCCGCUCGCCGGAAGACCAAGGGUUCCUGUCCAACGUUAAUCGGGGCAGGGUGAGUCGACCCCUAAGGCGAGGCCGAAAGGCGUAGUCGAUGGGAAACAGGUUAAUAUUCCUGUACUUGGUGUUACUGCGAAGGGGGGACGGAGAAGGCUAUGUUGGCCGGGCGACGGUUGUCCCGGUUUAAGCGUGUAGGCUGGUUUUCCAGGCAAAUCCGGAAAAUCAAGGCUGAGGCGUGAUGACGAGGCACUACGGUGCUGAAGCAACAAAUGCCCUGCUUCCAGGAAAAGCCUCUAAGCAUCAGGUAACAUCAAAUCGUACCCCAAACCGACACAGGUGGUCAGGUAGAGAAUACCAAGGCGCUUGAGAGAACUCGGGUGAAGGAACUAGGCAAAAUGGUGCCGUAACUUCGGGAGAAGGCACGCUGAUAUGUAGGUGAAGCGACUUGCUCGUGGAGCUGAAAUCAGUCGAAGAUACCAGCUGGCUGCAACUGUUUAUUAAAAACACAGCACUGUGCAAACACGAAAGUGGACGUAUACGGUGUGACGCCUGCCCGGUGCCGGAAGGUUAAUUGAUGGGGUUAGCGGUAACGCGAAGCUCUUGAUCGAAGCCCCGGUAAACGGCGGCCGUAACUAUAACGGUCCUAAGGUAGCGAAAUUCCUUGUCGGGUAAGUUCCGACCUGCACGAAUGGCGUAAUGAUGGCCAGGCUGUCUCCACCCGAGACUCAGUGAAAUUGAACUCGCUGUGAAGAUGCAGUGUACCCGCGGCAAGACGGAAAGACCCCGUGAACCUUUACUAUAGCUUGACACUGAACAUUGAGCCUUGAUGUGUAGGAUAGGUGGGAGGCUUUGAAGUGUGGACGCCAGUCUGCAUGGAGCCGACCUUGAAAUACCACCCUUUAAUGUUUGAUGUUCUAACGUUGGCCCCUAAUCGGGGUUGCGGACAGUGUCUGGUGGGUAGUUUGACUGGGGCGGUCUCCUCCUAAAGAGUAACGGAGGAGCACGAAGGUUGGCUAAUCCACGGUCGGACAUCAGGAGGUUAGUGCAAUGGCAUAAGCCAGCUUGACUGCGAGCGUGACGGCGCGAGCAGGUGCGAAAGCAGGUCAUAGUGAUCCGGUGGUUCUGAAUGGAAGGGCCAUCGCUCAACGGAUAAAAGGUACUCCGGGGAUAACAGGCUGAUACCGCCCAAGAGUUCAUAUCGACGGCGGUGUUUGGCACCUCGAUGUCGGCUCAUCACAUCCUGGGGCUGAAGUAGGUCCCAAGGGUAUGGCUGUUCGCCAUUUAAAGUGGUACGCGAGCUGGGUUUAGAACGUCGUGAGACAGUUCGGUCCCUAUCUGCCGUGGGCGCUGGAGAACUGAGGGGGGCUGCUCCUAGUACGAGAGGACCGGAGUGGACGCAUCACUGGUGUUCGGGUUGUCAUGCCAAUGGCACUGCCCGGUAGCUAAAUGCGGAAGAGAUAAGUGCUGAAAGCAUCUAAGCACGAAACUUGCCCCGAGAUGAGUUCUCCCUGACUCCCUGAGAGUCCUGAAGGAACGUUGAAGACGACGACGUUGAUAGGCCGGGUGUGUAAGCGCAGCGAUGCGUUGAGCUAACCGGUACUAAUGAACCGUGAGGCUUAACCUUACAACGCCGAAGCUGUU
rnacentral:rRNA from 1 species